AUGAGUCGACUUCUGCUGUUUUGGGCCAAAAUAUCCAGAAACCCAAAUCUCUGGUUUUUGCAACAGAGGUCGACUCAUGAGUCGACCCCUGAAGCAUGAGUCGACUCAUGAGUCGACCCCUGCGACGAGAAUUGUCCGCAACGACUAGUUUUUUGCCCGUUUUAGUUGCCUUUAAUGCUCACGUUAAAUGCUCUAACGGCUCUUUUUCUGCCUAAAAUGUUUUUCCUUGUUUCUUAAAGUUAUAAAAGGUUUCAAAAGG
rnacentral:lncRNA from 1 species